AUACGGAGGGAGCUAGCGUUGUUCGGAAUUACUGGGCGUAAAGAGUACGUAGGCGGUGAUUCAAGUCAGAGGCGAAAGCCUGGAGCUCAACUCCAGAACUGCCUUUGAAACUAGAUCGCUAGAAUUAUGGAGAGGUUAGUGGAAUUCCGAGUGUAGAGGUGAAAUUCGUAGAUAUUCGGAAGAACACCAGUGGCGAAGGCGACUAACUGGACAUAUAUUGACGCUGAGGUACGAAAGCGUGGGGAGCAAACAGGAUUAGAUACCCUGGUAGUCCACGCCGUAAACGAUGAUAACUAGCUGUUCGGGGUCUACGAUCCUGAGUGGCGCAGCUAACGCAUUAAGUUAUCCGCCCGGGGAGUACGGUCGCAAGAUUAAAACUCAAAUGAAUUGACGGGG
rnacentral:rRNA from 1 species